CAGAAUGCAGUAAGUGCAUGGUGAUCAAAUAAAUAAGAAGUGUACUUUUGUUCAGAGCUUGCCAGUACACUUGAUGGUAAUUUUAAUCACCAGUAACUCUGAACUAUUUCUUUUCUUGAGCCUUUCUAAGAUCACUCGUGUUGAGAAAAUAAACGCAGUUAUAUCUUUAAAAACUAUUUAUGGUGUUUUGAAUGUGCCAGCUUCUAAGCAAUGAGAUAGAACAUAAUCAUGUGACAAAUGACAUGUCAUAACUUUUCAUAUUUUUUGAUAUGGUGAGAGAAUGCCCAGACAGGGACAUUUUUUGGAGA
rnacentral:lncRNA from 1 species